rnacentral:rRNA from 1 species
GAUGAACGCUGGCGGCGUGCCUAAUACAUGCAAGUCGAGCGAACAGACGAGGAGCUUGCUCCUCUGACGUUAGCGGCGGAUGGGUGAGUAACACGUGGAUAACCUACCUAUAAGACUGGGAUAACUUCGGGAAACCGGAGCUAAUACCGGAUAAUAUAUUGAACCGCAUGGUUCAAUAGUGAAAGACGGUUUUGCUGUCACUUAUAGAUGGAUCCGCGCCGCAUUAGCUAGUUGGUAAGGUAACGGCUUACCAAGGCAACGAUGCGUAGCCGACCUGAGAGGGUGAUCGGCCACACUGGAACUGAGACACGGUCCAGACUCCUACGGGAGGCAGCAGUAGGGAAUCUUCCGCAAUGGGCGAAAGCCUGACGGAGCAACGCCGCGUGAGUGAUGAAGGUCUUCGGAUCGUAAAACUCUGUUAUGAGGGAAGAACAAAUGUGUAAGUAACUAUGCACGUCUUGACGGUACCUAAUCAGAAAGCCACGGCUAACUACGUG